GGGUUCUUAGCUCAGUUGGUAGAGCAGCGGACUCUUAAUCCGUAGGUCGUUGGUUCGAAUCCAACAGGACCCACCA
rnacentral:tRNA from 1 species